rnacentral:rRNA from 1 species
UACGGGGGGAGCAAGCGUUGUUCGGAUUUACUGGGCGUAAAGGGCGCGUAGGCGGUCAGCACAAGUCAGUUGUGAAAUCUCCGGGCUUAACUCGGAAAGGUCAACUGAUACUGUGCGACUAGAGUGCAGAAGGGGCAACUGGAAUUCUCGGUGUAGCGGUGAAAUUCGUAGAUAUCAAGCAGAACACCUGCGGCGAAGGCGGCCUUCUGGACGAUGACUGACGCUGAGACGCGAAGCGUGGGGAGCAAACAGG